AGGAAGAAAAACCAGACUCUGAAAGUUUUCAGAGAUUGCCUACAGGAUCUGGAAGAGGUUCAGGACCUGUUCUCCCUUCUGCAAAGCCACCUGGCGAGGCUCUCUGACCAGGGCGGCUUUCACCAGUUCUUACGUCAAGCAGCCCCUGGGCAGGUGCACCGAGGGGCGCCAGCUGGAGCCGGUCAGCCAUGCAGGGAGCCUCUGGAAGACGUUGC